rnacentral:rRNA from 1 species
UACAGAGGUCUCAAGCGUUGUUCGGAUUCAUUGGGCGUAAAGGGUGCGUAGGCGGCGCGGUAAGUCGGGUGUGAAAUCUCGGAGCUUAACUCCGAAACUGCAUUCGAUACUGCCGUGCUUGAGGACUGGAGAGGAGACUGGAAUUUACGGUGUAGCGGUGAAAUGCGUAGAUAUCGUCAAGAACACCGAUAGUGAAGACAGCUAACUAGCUUAACUGACGCUGAGGCACGAAAGUGUGGGGAUCAAACAGG